CUCGGCUCUGCGCACGCGCGGGCGCCCCGGCCGCGUCGGCCCACGCUGGCGUCCGCGCGUGGGAAGGGAAACCGACGCCGCCUAGCGGUUUCUGCGCGUGCCCACGCACCGGCCGGCGGCGGAAGACGCCUGCGGGGAGGGGGCGGGAGCGCCUCCUGGUGGACUACGCAGCCCACAUUGAACACUUCUCUGCAUCAUUUGAUACGCAUUUACUGAGAACCUGCUGCUGCUUCAACCAGUAUUUUAUUACAGCUUGACUGCAAUGUAUAAGACAUACAAUAAAGGUUUAAAAUGUA